CUCGGGGAGUGUGGGGUGUGUGUUGCACUUGUCACCCUCUGCCUCUGCAGUGCAAGAGGAGGAGGGGCCGUGUUCCCUGAGUGCCUGUGCCUGCUGUGAGUCCUGAAUGGAGGUGCUGGAACAUCUGCUUAGUACUCCAAAUACAGGAUGUUCUUAAGUCAAAGAAACUAUGAGCUCGAAAAUCUUUUCUGCAUUACUUAAAGGACAGCUUUGGGAUGAUCAUAAUUUUCACAGGGUGGGAGGAGAUAAAAACCAGAACAAAAACAAAUGCCCAUUUUACUUCUUGAAAGGAAUGGAACGUAUUGGUAUCAUAUUUGUUUUCACCUUCAGGAACAGAGAAGAUGCAAAUGGGUGGACAGGUCACCAGGCAGGAAGGAAAAUAGAUUUAGGUAACCAAACACCUGGAAUAAACAACCAGUUUUCCUUACAAGCAUACUGGCCUUUGAGUUUUAGGUACUUCGCUUUCUUGUAUUUUAUAAAAGACUGUUAUACCUUGUAAAUAAAUGACAGUAGAUAUCCCAUCAUAUCCUCUACUGACAACAUCUAGAUAUCACAGUGUAACUUAACAGUGUUGUGAGAUCUACUUAGAAGACACUGUUUCUGGAACCUCUAAUACCAUUUCCUGCAACACAUGAUGUAUCCUUGGAGCUCUGCUUCCUCGGUGUUGACCAGACCCAAACUGGGUCUGGAACUUGCUUUCUUAAUGAAAUUUGACAAGGCCACAGAUAUAAAUGUAUCUGCACUUGGGUAGGUUUUUGCUCAGUAAAAAUUAAAUGCACUGAAAAUGCAAGGCUGUCAAGUAAAGUACUCAAGUUUUGUAUGUUGUUGUCCUUUCCUAUUAAAUUUAUACUAUUGUCUGUCUAUAUACUUGGGAGAAAAAGGUACAAAGAGGUAGAUAUGAGAAAAUAAAAGAAGGUACAAUGUUCUUUUGAGUUGUUUCAAAGGCAAAGUUUUAUGUAGCUAACUUUGAUUAUAUGAUUGCAAUUUAAUUGUAUUAUAAUUAUGGCUAUAAUUGCUGUUUUGUAUGUUUCAUUA